UGGUUUCGAGUCAGGUGGCUUCCUCC
rnacentral:piRNA from 1 species